CAACUCUGGUUGAUCCUGCCAGAGGUCACUGCUAUCGGAGUACGACUUAGCCAUGCGAGUCACAGGGACUUCGGUCACUGGCGUACGGCUCAGUAACACGUGGGCAACCUACCCUCAGGACAGGCAUAACCCCGGGAAACUGGGGCUAAUCCCUGAUAGGCACCCUCAACUGGAAUGUGUCGGUGUCGAAAGCUCCGGCGCCUGAGGAUGGGCCUGCGGCCGAUUAGGUUGUUGGCGGGGUAACAGCCCACCAAGCCGACGAUCGGUACGGGCAGUGAGAGCUGUAGCCCGGAGAUGGGGACUGAGACAAGGCCCCAGGCCCUACGG
rnacentral:rRNA from 1 species